AUGCUGGAACAGCUGUUUACUUCAGCAGGACUUCUUCAGCGACUGGGGUUUGCCCACACAAACAGGGAGUUGCCUGCUCUGAUGGGAGUACUACAGAAAGGUACUGGAGCCUGGAUUACCAAUACCGUGCUGACCACCUUAAUAUAUUGAGAUCAUCAUUAUUUACCAUUCAGACACCAUAGCAACACCGAAUGCAAAUAUAUUUACUAAUAUUCUUAUAAACGGAGAUGAAGGC
rnacentral:lncRNA from 1 species